UCAGCCAAAGAGAAAGGAAGAGAAAAAAAUUCAUCCAAAGUGAGAAAAGAGUGUUUCGAUCGAAAUUGACGGAACGACACCGCUAGUUCGCGAAGUUCGUUCUUCAUUUCUAAGGAUCGAUUAACGACUGAAGUCGGAAAGCGCCAAGUGAGACGAAUGACGCAUUGUUAGCGAAACCUUUGAAGCUCGGGUAAGGCACCAGCUCCCUAAAACUUGUUGCUGGGCAUGCAUAGAGGAUGUAGUAGUGGAGUGUGGGCAAGUGGGUUAUGGAUGCAUCACGUGUUUUAGAAACGCUGUUGAACUUUAUGUGUAAAAAGUAAAUAGUGUUUUAUGAAAAUAAAUGAGUUAUGUAAUGAAAGUUAAGCUUACGAGACGGUGAGGCUAUGCAUAGCAACCUCCAGUCACAAGGUAAACGCGACAAGGACUUGAGGUGCCGAGAAGAAGUUCAUGC